GACGAACGCUGGCGGCGUGCUUAACACAUGCAAGUCGAACGCUGAAGACCUGGCUUUUGUUGGGUUGGAUGAGUGGCGAACGGGUGAGUAACACGUGAGUAACCUGCCCUCUUCUUUGGGAUAACGCCCGGAGACGGGUGCUAAUACUGGAUAUUCACUGAUCUUCGCAUGGGGGUUGGUGGAAAGGUUUGUUCUGGUGGGGGAUGGGCUCGCGGCCUAUCAGCUUGUUGGUGGGGUGAUGGCCUACCAAGGCUUUGACGGGUAGCCGGCCUGAGAGGGUGACCGGUCACAUUGGGACUGAGAGACGGCCCAGACGCCUACGGGAGGCAGCAGUGGGGAAUAUUGCACAAUGGGCGAAAGCCUGAUGCAGCGACGCCGCGUGAGGGAUGGAGGCCUUCGGGUUGUAAACCUCUUUCGCUCAUGGUCAAGCCGCAACUGUGGGUUGUGGUGAGGGUAGUGGGUAAAGAAGCGCCGGCUAACUACGUG
rnacentral:rRNA from 1 species